rnacentral:rRNA from 1 species
CCUACGGGUGGCAGCAGUGAGGAAUAUUGGUCAAUGGGCUUACGCCUGAACCAGCCAAGUCGCGUGAGGGAAGACUGCCCUAUGGGUUGUAAACCUCUUUUGUCAGGGAGCAAUUGGCGCUACGUGUAGCGUUAUCGAUAGUACCUGAAGACAAAGCAUCGGAUAACUCAGUGCCAGCAGCCGCGGUAAUACGGAGGAGGCGAGCGUUAUCCGGAUUGAGUGGGUUUAAGGGGAGCGUAGGCGGAAUGCCAAGUCAGCGGUAAAAUCGCGGGGCUCAACCUCGCUCCGCCGUUGAAACUGGCGUUCUUGAGUGGGCGAGAGGUAUGCGGAAU